rnacentral:tRNA from 1 species
UGGGUUGUGGCUCAGUGGUAGAGCUCUUGCCUAGCAUGCAUGAGGCACUGGGUUUGAUUCCCAGCAACACAU